ACUAUUAGCUUUGAACCAACUCAAACCCUACAGGAGAGUUGAGGAUUCCAUAUAAUCCUGGGGAAUUGUAUUGCUGGAAAUGACAAGUCUAGUUCCAUUUCACAGAAGUCCAAGAUACAAGGUGGGACUAAUUCAGAAGAACUCUAGAACCCUGGUAGAAAAAGUGGAGGCUGGAGAAGAAUCUGCUAACUGGACCUGAGACACGAUUAGGGUUGCCUCAAUCCACAGCGACAGUGGGUGACAACUGAAAAUAAUAUCAAUGCUGGAUGAAAGUGGUCCCAGUGGCAGCCCUCAAUGGAUAGUCUUGCCAAGUGUAAGUGGGAAGGCCAAUUAGGCACAAAAGCUAUAGAAUCUCCCUGUCCUGGUUUCAUGGAAGUAUUCUCUACCUACCGAAAGCUGCACAUCGGGUCUUUUCUCCAGUAGCAUCAUGCCUUCACUGGGCAGGCCGAAGGAUUUCACUUGAUGAUGGUGCAAUCCAGUACACACUGUGGACUGAAGAAGGCAGUUCCUGAAUAUCAGCUACCACGCUGUUACUGCCUGGAUUGAACGUGACAGGGAUGACCAUUUGAUCUGCCGUCUCCAGAUGCCAACCUAUC